ensembl:snoRNA small nucleolar RNA SNORA2/SNORA34 family
AUGACCCUAAAUCAAGGCCAGCAGUUUUCUAAAGCUGCUGGUUUCAAGCAGGAGCCUAAAGUGGUAUCUUUCUAUGGUCUGUUGGCCAUUUUAAACUUUAAAAUGUAAAACAGUCAAUUCAUCAGAUACAAACAACU